rnacentral:rRNA from 1 species
AACGGAAUCUUAUAUGUUCCUUGUCUCGAAUCUUUGCGGAUUAGAGCUACGGAACAAUAAGAUUUAGUGGCGGACGGGUGAGUACACGUUGUACCUACCCUUAGUGGGGAAUAACUUCGAGAAAUCGAGGCUAAUACCGCAUAAUAUCUACGGAUUAAAGCAUUUAUGCGCUAAGGGAGGGGCCUGCGUCUGAUUAGCUAGUUGGUGAGGUAAAAGCUCACCAAGGCGACGAUCAGUAGCUGGAUCGAGAGGUUGACCAGCCACACUGGGACUGAGAUACGGCCCAGACUCCUACGGGAGGCAGCAGUGAGGAAUCUUCCACAAUGGACGAAAGUCUGAUGGAGCAAUGCCGCGUGCAGGAUGACGGCCUUCGGGUUGUAAACUGCUUUUAUAUGGGAAGAUUAUGACGGUACCAUAUGAAUAAGGACCGGCUAACUACGUG